rnacentral:rRNA from 1 species
CCUACGGGUGGCAGCAGUAGGGAAUAUUGCUCAAUGGGGGAAACCCUGAAGCAGCAACGCCGCGUGGAGGAUGAAGGUUUUUGGAUUGUAAACUCCUUUUGUUAGAGAAGAUAAUGACGGUAUCUAACGAAUAAGCACCGGCUAACUCCGUGCCAGCAGCCGCGGUAAUACGGAGGGUGCAAGCGUUACUCGGAAUCACUGGGCGUAAAGAGCGCGUAGGCGGGAUAGCAAGUCAGAUGUGAAAUCCUAUGGCUUAACCAUAGAACUGCAUUUGAAACUGUUAUUCUAGAGUAUGGGAGAGGUAGGUGGAAUUCUUGGUGUAGGAGUAAAAUCCGUAGAGAUCGAGAGGAAUACUCAUGGCGAAGGCGAGCUGCUAGAACAUAACUGACGCUGAUGCGCGAAGGCGUGGGGAGCGAACGGGAUUAGAUACCCCAGUAGUC